UUUAUUCCCUCCUCUUUUGCAGAUUUUUUUCUGACAUAAUUGAAAAGCACUCAUAAUAUAGAAUUUGGUCUACAUAUCUGCAAGAUGAAUUUUUAAAUCAGAUGGCCAUCUGGGGUGGAACAGAUGUGCCUGAAAUUUACUCUGUUGUCUGUUUUCUGCUGCUCAAGAGCUGUACAUAACAAACAUAAUAACCAU
rnacentral:lncRNA from 1 species